rnacentral:rRNA from 1 species
AUGAAGACCUUUCUCAUCCUUGCCCUCCUUGCUAUUGUAGCAACCACCGCCACAAUUGCAGUUAGAGUUCCAGUGCCACAAUUGCAGCCACAAAAUCCAUCUCAGCAACAACCACAAGAGCAAGUUCCAUUGGUACAACAACAACAAUUUCCAGGGCAGCAACAACCAUUUCCACCACAACAGCCAUAUCCGCAGCCGCAACCAUUUCCAUCACAACAACCAUAUCUGCAGCUGCAACCAUUUCCGCAGCCGCAACUACCAUAUCCGCAGCCGCAACUACCAUAUCCGCAGCCGCAACCAUUUCGACCACAACAACCAUAUCCACAACCGCAACCACAGUAUUCGCAACCACAACAACCAAUUUCGCAGCAGCAGCAGCAGCAGCAACAACAACAACAACAAAAACAACAACAACAACAACAACAACAGAUCCUUCAACAAAUUUUGCAACAACAACUGAUUCCAUGCAGGGAUGUUGUAUUGCAACAACACAGCAUAGCGUAUGGAAGCUCACAAGUUUUGCAACAAAGUACUUACCAGCUGGUGCAACAAUUGUGUUGUCAGCAGCUGUGGCAGAUCCCCGAGCAGUCGCGGUGCCAAGCCAUCCACAAUGUUGUUCAUGCUAUUAUUCUGCAUCAACAGCAACAACAACAACAACAACAACAACAACCGUUGAGCCAGGUCUCCUUCCAACAGCCUCAACAACAAUAACCAUCAGGCCAGGGCUCCUUCCAGCCAUCUCAGCAAAACCCACAGGCCCAGGGCUCUGUCCAGCCUCAACAACUGCCCCAGUUUGAGGAAAUAAGGAACCUAGCGCUAGAGACGCUACCUGCAAUGUGCAAUGUCUAUAUCCCUCCAUAUUGCACCAUUGCUCCAGUUGGCAUCUUCGGUACUAACUGA